rnacentral:rRNA from 1 species
AUUGAACGCUGGCGGCAGGCUUAACACAUGCAAGUCGAGCGGAGAGAGGUAGCUUGCUACUGAUCUUAGCGGCGGACGGGUGAGUAAUGCUUAGGAAUCUGCCUAUUAGUGGGGGACAACAUUUCGAAAGGAAUGCUAAUACCGCAUACGUCCUACGGGAGAAAGCAGGGGAUCUUCGGACCUUGCGCUAAUAGAUGAGCCUAAGUCGGAUUAGCUAGUUGGUGGGGUAAAGGCCUACCAAGGCGACGAUCUGUAGCGGGUCUGAGAGGAUGAUCCGCCACACUGGGACUGAGACGCGGCCCAGACUCCUACGGGAGGCAGCAGUGGGGAAUCUUGGACAAUGGGCGCAAGCCUGAUCCAGCCAUGCCGCGUGUGUGAAGAAGGCCUUAUGGUUGUAAAGCACUUUAAGCGAGGAGGAGGCUACUUUAGAUAAUACCUAGAGAUAGUGGACGUUACUCGCAGAAUAAGCACCGGCUAACUCUGUGCCAGCCGCCGCGGUAACAC